rnacentral:rRNA from 1 species
CCUACGGGUGGCAGCAGUGAGGAAUAUUGGUCAAUGGGCGGGAGCCUGAACCAGCCAAGUCGCGUGAGGGACGACGGUCCUAUGGAUUGUAAACCUCUUUUGUCGGGGAACAAAGGCGCCCACGGGUGGGCGGCUGAGUGUACCCGACGAAAAAGCAUCGGCUAACUCCGUGCCAGCAGCCGCGGUACUACGGAGGAUGCGCGCGUUAUCCGGAUUUAUUGGGUUUAAAGGGAGCGUAGAUGGGUUGUUAAGUCAGUUGUGAAAGUUUGCGGCUCAACCGUAAAAUUGCAAUUGAUACUGGCAGUCUUGAGUACAGUUGAGGUAGGCGGAAUUCGUGGUGUAGCGGUGAAAUGCUUAGAUAUCACGAAGAACCCCGAUUGCGAAGGCAGCUUACUAAACUGUGACUGACAUUGAUGCUCGAAAGUGUGGGUAGCAAACAGGAUUAGAUACCCUGGUAGUC